GACGAACGCUGGCGGCGUGCUUAACACAUGCAAGUCGAACGGGCCCGCCCCUGUUUUUGGGGGUGGGUUGAGUGGCGAACGGGUGAGUAUCACGUGAGUAACCUGCCCCCUGCUCCUGGAUAACUGCCUGAAAGGGCGGCUAAUACGGGGUGUGCCGGCUGGUCCGCAUGGGCCUGGUCGGGAUAGUUUCAUCUUCGGGUGUUUCGGUGGGGGAUGGGCUCGCGGCCUAUCAGCUUGUUGGUGGGGUGAUGGUCCACCAGGGCGGUGACGGGUAGCCGGGCUGAGGGGGUGGGCGGCCACACUGGGACUGAGCCACGGCCCAGACUCCUGCGGGAGGCAGCAGUGGGGGGUAUUGCACAAUGGGCGGAAGCCUGAUGCAGCGACGUCGCGUGAGGGAUGGAGGCCUUCGGGUUGUGAACCUCUUUCUCCGGUGGUGAAGGCCCUGUCCGUUGCGGCGGGGUUGACGGUAGCCGGGUAUGAAGCGCCGGCUAACUACGU
rnacentral:rRNA from 1 species